rnacentral:rRNA from 1 species
AGUGCUGGAGCGAAUAGAAGUGAGCAUGCAGGCAUGAGUAGCGAUAAUUAAUGUGAGAAUCAUUAACGCCGUAAACCCAAGGUUUCCUACGCGAUGCUCGUCAUCGUAGGGUUAGUCGGGUCCUAAGUCGAGUCCGAAAGGGGUAGACGAUGGCAAAUUGGUUAAUAUUCCAAUACCAACAUUAGUGUGCGAUGGAAGGACGCUUAGGGCUAAGGGGGCUAGCGGAUGGAAGUGCUAGUCUAAGGUCGUAGGAGGUUAUACAGGCAAAUCCGUAUAACAAUACUCCGAGAACUGAAAGGCUUUUUGAAGUCUUCGGAUGGAUAGAAGAACCCCUGAUGCCGUCGAGCCAAGAAAAGUUUCUAAGUUUAGCUAAUGUUGCCCGUACCGUAAACCGACACAGGUGGGUGGGAUGAGUAUUCUAAGGCGCGUGGAAGAACUCUCUUUAAGGAACUCUGCAAAAUAGCACCGUAUCUUCGGUAUAAGGUGUGGUUCGCUUCGUAUUAGGAUUUACUCCGAAAGCGAAGAAACUUACAACAAAGAGUCCCUCCCGACUGUUUACCAAAAACACAGCACUCUGCUAACUCGUAAGAGGAUGUAUAGGGUGUGACGCCUGCCCGGUGCUCGAAGGUUAAUUGAUGGGGUUAGCAUUAGCGAAGCUCUUGAUCGAAGCCCGAGUAAACGGCGGCCGUAACUAUAACGGUCCUAAGGUAGCGAAAUUCCUUGUCGGUUAAAUACCGACCUGCAUGAAUGGCGUAACGAGAUGGGAGCUGUCUCAAAGAGGGAUCCAGUGAAAUUGUAGUGGAGGUGAAAAUUCCUCCUACCCGCGGCAAGACGGAAAGACCCCGUGGACCUUUACUACAGCUUGACACUGCUAUUUGGAUAAGAAUGUGCAGGAUAGGUGGGAGGCUUUGAGUAUAUGACGCCAGUUGUAUAUGAGCCAUUGUUGAGAUACCACUCUUUCUUAUUUGGGUAGCUAACCAGCUUGAGUUAUCCUCAAGUGGGACAAUGUCUGGUGGGUAGUUUGACUGGGGCGGUCGCCUCCCAAAUAAUAACGGAGGCUUACAAAGGUUGGCUCAGAACGGUUGGAAAUCGUUCGUAGAGUAUAAAGGUAUAAGCCAGCUUAACUGCAAGACAUACAAGUCAAGCAGAGACGAAAGUCGGUCUUAGUGAUCCGGUGGUUCUGUGUGGAAGGGCCAUCGCUCAAAGGAUAAAAGGUACCCCGGGGAUAACAGGCUGAUCUCCCCCAAGAGCUCACAUCGACGGGGAGGUUUGGCACCUCGAUGUCGGCUCAUCGCAUCCUGGGGCUGGAGCAGGUCCCAAGGGUAUGGCUGUUCGCCAUUUAAAGCGGUACGCGAGCUGGGUUCAGAACGUCGUGAGACAGUUCGGUCCCUAUCUGCCGUGGGCGUAAGAAGAUUGAAGAGAUUUGACCCUAGUACGAGAGGACCGGGUUGAACAAACCACUGGUGUAGCUGUUGUUCUGCCAAGAGCAUCGCAGCGUAGCUAAGUUUGGAAAGGAUAAACGCUGAAAGCAUCUAAGCGUGAAGCCAACUCUAAGAUGAAUCUUCUCUAAGCUCUCUAGAAGACUACUAGUUUGAUAGGCUGGGUGUGUAAUGGAUGAAAGUCCUUUAGCUGACCAGUACUAAUAGAGCGUUUGGCUUAUCUUUAAUAAAGCAU